UACGUAGGGGGCAAGCGUUGUCCGGAUUUAUUGGGCGUAAAGAGCGUGUAGGCGGCUUUGCAAGUCCGUUGUGAAAACUCGAGGCUCAACCUCGAGACGCCGGUGGAAACUGCAAAGCUAGAGUCCGGAAGAGGAGAGUGGAAUUCCGUGGUGUAGCGGGUGGAAUGCGCAGAUAUCAGGAGGAACACCGGUGGCGAAGGCGGGUCUCUGGGCAGUGAACUGACGCUGAGGAGCGAAAGCGUGGGGAGCGAACAGG
rnacentral:rRNA from 1 species